UUGCAGCCACAUCACAUUGAAAUAUUGGUUCCCGUAUGAUCACCAAAGUUAACCAAUAUUGUGCAUGGUCAGUAACUAGAUGGGUGACCGUUUGGGAAUACCAAGUGCUGUAAG